rnacentral:sRNA from 1 species
GCUGGGUGUGGUGAGGCAUCCCUGUAAUCCCAGCAACUUGGGAGGCUGAGGCAAGAGAACUGCAAAUUUGAGGCCAACCUGUAGCUAGAACCUGUCUCAAAAUAAAAUUAAAAAAAAAAAAAAAUGUUUUUAAAGGGUUGAGGAUUGGGCUGGGGAUAUGGCUCCAUUGAUAGAGUGCUUGCCUCAC